rnacentral:rRNA from 1 species
GACGAACGCUGGCGGCGUGCUUAACACAUGCAAGUCGAGCGAUGAAGUUCCUUCGGGAACGGAUUAGAGGCGGACGGGUGAGUAACACGUGGGUAACCUGCCUCAUAGAGGGGAAUAGCCUUUCGAAAGGAAGAUUAAUACCGCAUAAGAUUGUAGUAUCGCAUGAUACAGCAAUUAAAGGAGUAAUCCGCUAUGAGAUGGACCCGCGUCGCAUUAGCUAGUUGGUGAGGUAACGGCUCACCAAGGCGACGAUGCGUAGCCUACCUGAGAGGGUGAUCGGCCACAUUGGGACUGAGACACGGCCCAGACUCCUACGGGAGGCAGCAGUGGGGAAUAUUGCACAAUGGGGGAAACCCUGAUGGAGCGACACCGCGUGAAGGAAGAAGAUCUAACGAUUGUAAACUUCUUUUCUGGAGGAGCAUAAUGAGAGUACUUCAGGAAUAAGGAACGGCUAAUCACGUGCCAGCAGCCGCAGUAA